UUUUGAAGCAUCGUAUGACUAUAUUUAAGCCUUCCGAACACUUGGACUUUGCGUUAUGUCUGGUUAUUAUGUUUUUGGA
rnacentral:pre_miRNA from 1 species